AUGCGUGUUGGGUCGAGAUGCACAGCACCGGAUUGCGUAGCAAAGGCUUACACAGACGUUUCAUUCCGUCCGCUACCGGUGCCUGAUUCCUCCUCCCUUAAGCAUUGCUGCUGUGUUACAGCAAGCAGGAGACGUCGUCGCGACGCCGGCCCAACUGGCCUCACAUCGCUGGACACUGGAGUGCCUGACAAGCCCUCCUGACGCACCUGACACCGACUGCGAGAGUCGUGUGUGCCGAACGCCGUUUCCGGAUGCCACGGAAACCGA
rnacentral:ncRNA from 1 species